rnacentral:rRNA from 1 species
GUGUGUUUUGUUACGGGCGUAUGGUGGAUGCCUUGGCAUGCUGAGCCGAUGAAGGACGUGUGAGGCUGCGUUAUGCCUCGGGGAGUUGCCAUCAAAGCGUUGAUCCGAGGAUGUCCGAAUGGGGAAACCCAGCACCAGUUGUGUGGUGUUACCUGCAGGUGAAUUCAUAGUCUGUGUGGGGGUUGACGCGGGGAAGUGAAACAUCUCAGUACCCGUAGGAGAAGAAAACAAUUGUGAUUCCGUGUGUAGUGGCGAGCGAUAGCGGAUGAGGCUAAACCGUGUGCGUGUGAUACCUGGCAGGGGUUGCGUGUGCGGUGUUGUGGGGCGUAGGCGUUUGCAGGCUGUCAACUGUGAGCAUGAUUUGCGCGUGUCAGUGGAAGCAUCUGGGAUGGUGCGCCGGAGAGGGUGAUCAGUCCCGUACGUGAAGGCAUGUGUGGUUGUGUGGUCUAUGUUUUUCCCCGAGUAGCAGCGGGCUCGUGGAAUCUGCUGUGAAUCUGCCGGGACCACCCGGUAAGCCUAAAUACUCAGUGUGACCGAUAGUGGAUUUUAGUACCGUGAGGGAAUGGUGAAAAGUACCCCGGGAGGGGAGUGAAAGAGUUCCUGAAACCAUGCGCUUACAAUCCGUCAGAGCACCU